rnacentral:rRNA from 1 species
GAUGAACGCUGGCGGCGUGCUUAACACAUGCAAGUCGAACGGGGUUACCAUUUUUGAAGCGAUUAGCUUGCUAAGAGUGGAAAUGUUGGUAACCUAGUGGCGGACGGGUGAGUAACGCGUGGGUAACCUGCCAUAUACAGGGGGAUAACACUUAGAAAUAGGUGCUAAUACCGCAUAAGCGCACAGUGUCGCAUGACGCAGUGUGAAAAACUUCGGUGGUAUACGAUGGACCCGCGUCUGAUUAGCCAGUUGGCAGGGUAACGGCCUACCAAAGCGACGAUCAGUAGCCGGCCUGAGAGGGUGAACGGCCACAUUGGGACUGAGACACGGCCCAA